rnacentral:rRNA from 1 species
CGCUGGCGGCGUGCUUAACACAUGCUAGUCGAACGAUGAAGCCUAGCUUGCUAGGUGGAUUAGUGGCGAACGGGUGAGUAAUACGUGAGUAACCUACCUUUAACUCUGGGAUAAGCCCGGGAAACUGGGUCUAAUACCGGAUACGACCAAUCUCCGCAUGGGGUGUUGGUGGAAAGCGUUAUGUAGUGGUUAUAGAUGGGCUCACGGCCUAUCAGCUUGUUGGUGAGGUAACGGCUCACCAAGGCGACGACGGGUAGCCGGCCUGAGAGGGUGACCGGCCACACUGGGACUGAGACACGGCCCAGACUCCUACGGGAGGCAGCAGUGGGGAAUAUUGCACAAUGGGCGCAAGCCUGAUGCAGCGACGCCGCGUGAGGGAUGACGGCCUUCGGGUUGUAAACCUCUGUUAGCAGGGAAGAAGAGAGAUUGACGGUACCUGCAGAGAAAGCGCCGGCUAACUACGUGCCAGCAGCCGCGGUAAUACGUAGGGCGCGAGCGUUGUCCGGAAUUAUUGGGCGUAAAGAGCUUGUAGGCGAUUUGUCGCGUCUGCUGUGAAGGCCGGAGCUUAACUCCGUGUAUUGCAGUGGGUACGGGCAGACUAGAGUGCAGUAGGGGAGACUGGAAUUCCUGGUGUAGCGGUGGAAUGCGCAGAUAUCAGGAGGAACACCGAUGGCGAAGGCAGGUCUCUGGGCUGUAACUGACGCUGAGAAGCGAAAGCAUGGGGAGCGAACAGGAUUAGAUACCCUGGUAGUCCAUGCCGUAAACGUUGGGCACUAGGUGUGGGGAACAUUCCACGUUUUCCGCGCCGUAGCUAACGCAUUAAGUGCCCCGCCUGGGGAGUACGGCCGCAAGGCUAAAACUCAAAGAAAUUGACGGGGGCCCGCACAAGCGGCGGAGCAUGCGGAUUAAUUCGAUGCAACGCGAAGAACCUUACCAAGGCUUGACAUAUACUGGACCGCAUCAGAGAUGGUGUUUCCCUUCGGGGCUGGUAUACAGGUGGUGCAUGGUUGUCGUCAGCUCGUGUCGUGAGAUGUUGGGUUAAGUCCCGCAACGAGCGCAACCCUCGUUCUAUGUUGCCAGCACGUUAUGGUGGGGACUCAUAGGAGACUGCCGGGGUCAACUCGGAGGAAGGUGGGGAUGACGUCAAAUCAUCAUGCCCCUUAUGUCUUGGGCUUCACGCAUGCUACAAUGGCCGGUACAGAGGGUUGCGAUACUGUGAGGUGGAGCUAAUCCCUAAAAGCCGGUCUCAGUUCGGAUUGGGGUCUGCAACUCGACCCCAUGAAGUCGGAGUCGCUAGUAAUCGCAGAUCAGCAACGCUGCGGUGAAUACGUUCCCGGGCCU